GACGAACGCUGGCGGCGUGCUUAACACAUGCAAGUCGAACGGAAAGGCCCUGCUUUUGUGGGGUGCUCGAGUGGCGAACGGGUGAGUAACACGUGAGUAACAUGCCCUUGACUUUGGGAUAACUUCAGGAAACUGGGGCUAAUACCAGAAAGAAGAUCCUGCUGCAUGGUGGGGGUCGGAAAGUUUAGGUGGUUGGGGAUGGGCUUGUGGCUUAUCAGCUGGAUGGUGAGGUAGUGGCCUCCCAAGGCGUUGCUGAGUAGACGGCCUGAGAGGGUGACAGGCCACAUUGAGCCUGAGCUACCGCCCAGACUCCUAUGAGAGGCAGCAGUAGCUGAUAUUGAUGAAUAGACGGACGCCUGAUGCAACAACGCCGCGUACGAGAUAACGGCCUUCGGGUUGUAAACCGCUUUCGCCUGUGACGAACCGUGGGUGACGGUAAUGGGUAAAGAAGCGCCGGCUAACUACGUG
rnacentral:rRNA from 1 species